AGACGACGACGAACGCGCGAGCAGUGGCACGAGCGCGAGGGGCAGUAUGGGAACACUGGAAUGAUGAGCGGCAACGGAGCCAGCUGGGGAAGAAUAUGACGAC
rnacentral:lncRNA from 1 species